rnacentral:rRNA from 1 species
UACGUAGGGUGCGAGCGUUAAUCGGAAUUACUGGGCGUAAAGCGUGCGCAGGCGGCUAUGCAAGACAGAUGUGAAAUCCCCGGGCUCGACCUGGGAACUGCAUUUGUGACUGCAUAGCUAGAGUACGGUAGAGGGGGAUGGAAUUCCGCGUGUAGCAGUGAAAUGCGUAGAUAUGCGGAGGAACACCGAUGGCGAAGGCAAUCCCCUGGACCUGUACUGACGCUCAUGCACGAAAGCGUGGGGAGCAAACGAGG